rnacentral:rRNA from 1 species
UACGUAGGUGGCAAGCGUUGUCCGGAAUUACUGGGCGUAAAGGGCGUGUAGGCGGCCUUUUAAGUCAGACGUGAAAACCCUGGGCUUAACCCAGGAACUGCGUUUGAAACUGGAGGGCUUGAGGACCGGAGAGGGUAGUGGAAUUCCCAGUGUAGCGGUGAAAUGCGUAGAUAUUGGGAGGAACACCAGUGGCGAAGGCGACUGCCUGGACGGCACCUGACGCUGAGGCGCGAAAGCGUGGGGAGCGAACAGG